rnacentral:misc_RNA from 1 species
GAUGAAGAACGCAGCGAAAUGCGAUAAGUAAUGCGAAUUGCAGAAUUCCGUGAGUCAUCGAAUCUUUGAACGCACAUUGCGCCCGCCAGCACUCUGGCGGGCAUGCCUGUUCGAGCGUCAUUUCAACCAUCAAGCCCCCAGGGGCUUGUGCUGGGGCCCUGCGGCUGCCCGCAGGCCCUGAAAACCAGUGGCGGGCUCGCUAGUCACACCGAGCGCAGUAGCACAUCUCGCUCAGGGCGUGCGGCGGGCUCCUGCCGUGAAACCCCCCACUGUAACCCCAAAGGUUGACCUCGGAUCAGGUAGGAAUACCCGCUGAACUUAAGCAUAUCAAUAAGCGGAGGA